ACCAGGUCACGGUACAGUUGAUGCAAAGCAGUAGGCCACCCAGCCAAUCGGACCCCAGGAGAGACAGGCAGAGGCUGAGGAAGAGCGACAUGGAGGCACUGGGCCCAAGCCCGAGGCCCCAAGGGGGUCCGCCCCAGCCAUCCCUCCAGCGCCGCCCCUUUGUGAAUCCGGACCGGCGAAAAUGCUUUGCCUGUGGACAAGAGGGCCAUAUAGCGUGGAAUUGUCCGGGAGAAGACAUUCUGAUGCCUACGGCGGGCUCCUCCGACUCCCCACGGAAGGCCGACAGCUAUCUUACCACGUGCUGGGCUCAUGAGGGCGCAAGGGCCCCAAAGCUGCCGGUCAGAAUAGGGACCCAGGAUGCUGAAGCCCUACUCGACUCCGGCAGUGCGGUCACCCUCCUACGGCCCGGGUUGACCUCUGGCCCCAGGGGACCCCCUAUCCCAGUCUCCUGUGUCCACGGGGAUUCACGAGAGUAUCCCACGACCCACAUUAAGGUCCAGACCACCAGGGGCACAUUUGAGGUUGUUGCGGGCUUAGUGGAAAAUCUGCCGGUACCAGUGCUGAUUGGGCGGGACUGCCCGAUAUUCUGGCGUUUGUGGGCAUGCAGGACUGCUGGCCACCGAAGAAACUGUCCCACCAAGAAACCUGGUAGGGACCAGAAAGUCAAGGUGGCACAUGCCUGUGCAGCCCCAUCUAGCCCAACCACGUCAUCUGCAGAAGGGACAGAGGAGGAGGCCCUGGCCCCAGCGGAGGCCCCGGCCCCAGCGGAGGCCCCGGCCCCAGCGGAGGCCCCGACAAGGAGGGAUCCCCGACUAACUGAAGGGUCUUCGAACGAGGCUUUUUCGGAGUUCCCACUGGCAGAAGAGGCAUCUUCCACCAGGCCCGGGCAGUUUGGGACGGCCCAGUGGGAGGACCCUAACCUGGAACAAGCGCGACAGAACCUGGCUGUGGUCGAGGGAGAACCGGUGGCGGGGCCCACUCCCACCUGUUGGGAGCUCAUUUGGGGGUGGAGAAAACCUACGACCGAGUCCGGGAGCGCUUCUACUGGCCGGGGGUGAAGAAGGCGGUCCAGGAUUAUUGCCAAAUCUGCCCACAAUGCCAGAAGACGGCGCCGAAGUGCCCCAGGCGUCCACAGGGUUCUCACCAUUUGAGCUGCUGUAUGGACGGAGACCCAGGGGCAUGCUGGACCUGGCCAAAGAAGCAUGGGAGCAACAGCCAUCAGCCCAUCGCUCCGCCAUAGAGUAUGUCGACCAGAUGCAGGACAGGAUGGCUAAGGUAUGGCCCCUGGUGCGGGAGCAUAUGCAACAAGCCCAACACGCCCAAGCCAGAAUCUAUAACCGUAGAGCUCAGCUACGGGAGUUCCAGCCGGGAGAGUUUGUCUUGGUCCUGAUUCCAAC
ensembl:lncRNA